GCUGAUUAAAACUGCCCAACCCUAACCCUGCAGCUGGGAGAGGAGCCCCAGGCUUGGGAUUCCCAGGUGUUCCCGUUCAUAAUCAGGACAGAACACAGACAACUCACCAUGGAGUUUGUGUUUCACUGGGUUUUCUUUGUUGCAAUUUUAAAAGGUGUCCAGUGUGAGGUGCAGCUGGUGGAGUCUGGGGGAGACCUGGUGAAGCCUGGGGGGUCCCUGAGACUCUCCUGUGCAGCCUCUGGAUUCACCUUCAGUAGCUAUAGCACGAGCUGGGUCCGCCAGGCUCCAGGGAAGGGGCUGCAGUGGGUCGCAUGGAUUAAGUAUGAUGGAAGUAGCACAAACUACGCAGACUCUGUGAAGGGCCGAUUCACCAUCUCCAGAGACAACGGCAAGAACACGCUGUAUCUGCAGAUGAACAGCCUGAGAGCCGAGGACACGGCCGUGUAUUACUGUGCCAGUCUG